rnacentral:rRNA from 1 species
GAGUUUGAUCGUGGCUCAGAACGAACGCUGGCGGCAUGCCUAACACAUGCAAGUCGAACGGGAUCCAGGCCUCGGCCUGGUGAGAGUGGCGGACGGGUGAGUAACGCGUGGGAACCUGCCCAAUGGUCUGGGAUAACCGCGGGAAACUGCGGCUAAUACCGGAUAAGCCCGAGAGGGGAAAGAUUUAUCGCCGAUGGAGGGGCCCGCGUCCGAUUAGGUAGUUGGUGAGGUAACGGCUCACCAAGCCGACGAUCGGUAGCUGGUCUGAGAGGAUGAUCAGCCACACUGGGACUGAGAUACGGCCCAGACUCCUACGGGAGGCAGCAGUGGGGAAUAUUGGACAAUGGGGGCAACCCUGAUCCAGCAAUGCCGCGUGAGUGAUGAAGGCCUUAGGGUUGUAAAGCUCUUUUGGCGGGGACGAUGAUGACGGUACCCGCAGAAUAAGCCCCGGCUAACUUCGUGCCAGCCGCCGCAGUAAU